rnacentral:lncRNA from 1 species
GACAUUCUCUAAAAUACCACCAUUUUUAUUUUUAGGACAAAAAUACCACAAGACUAGAAUUAAAUUUUAAAUUUUCAAACUUUAAAUUCUAAAUUCUAAACAUUAAAUCCUACCCCCUAAAUACUAUACCCUAAAUUGCAAAUAAUCAACCCAAACCAAAGAUUUAAAAUUCCAUACCAUUGAACAAUAAUUUGAUUUUAGUGGUAUUUUUGGAAAGAGAACGAAAAUGAUGGUAUUUUGAG